CAAACACGAAGUUCUCGUUGCUGCCUUUGUAGGGUGUGAAAUUUAUCACGAAAGACAUCUUUUCCCCCGCCUGUUUGAAGCUUAUUUCGUUCGGAGUGACUGAGACGUAUGCACCAGCGGGAGAGUCUACUUCCACCUUGUCCGAGACUCCAAUUGACGGAUAAUUGAAGUCAUACGAGGAUGCUGUGGUGUUCCUGCAGUAUGUCGUCUCACCAGUGAGGUUCUUCAGCUGACCAGGGCUUGCACCGGUGCUGCACAGGAAAUCAAUGACGUCGCUGCUGUCAAAAUCGUAAACCAAUCCGGGGUCGACUGCUGCAGCCGGAUUGACAUGACCGGAUCCAUAAUCGAAAGACUUGAUCGCUGCAGGGCUCCAUGAAGGAUGGACAGAUUUGACAAUGGCAGCAAGAGCAGAGACAUGGGGGCAGGACAUUGAAGUGCCCGAGAUUAUGUUGUAGUCGAUUUCUCUUCCAGCCGUGUUGACAGUGGCCAAGGGAGACCACGCUGCCAGCACGUUCACACCUGGCGCUGUUAUAUCCGGCUGAAAAUGAAAAGACGAGAACAUUGCCAUCUCGGGCGCUGGUUUAGUCGGCUGAACUGUCACUGUCUGUGAUAUUCUAGCCACUGGGUUUCUGUCACAACAGAACCGGUAUAGUUAAGGAACUAAUAUAUGAUGUUUAGAUAGACGAAAGUCAAACUUACUGGUUCGAAACCAUGUAUGUUUGAAGUUUUUCUGCUUCUUGAAUGUUGAUUAUAGUGCCUGGGAUUUCAAACUGAAAUGUGAUGUCUUCAGCUAGUGGAUCAACCAGUAUUAUCCCCACACCACCAGCUUGUUUCA